ensembl:lncRNA novel transcript
UGUGCGGACCUCCGAGCUACACCGUCUCCAACCAACAGAAGCCAGCAGGAACCUGCCUUAGAUGUGGGAAUGAGACAACACAACUUCUCCCAUAGGCCUGGUGGUCAGAGAGGCUGGAUCAAGAAUCUCCACAGCCCAGCGAGAAGCCACGCGAACACACCCCUGUGUGGGUAUCCGUGACCUGGCGGCCUGCAGAACUCCUGGGCCAGAGACGUCCUCAUCCUGUUGGAAUAUCCAGGUAUCUCCACUCCGAAUAUCCUCAUCUUCCUGGAACCCCUCUUUUUCUCCUAACAUUCUCUUAAAUGAAAUUCCAUAUCUGCUACAACACAGAAAGAGAGGCGGAACAAGAAAAACUGGUGAUCCACUAAUAAGAAGGCCCUGGAGCCUCUCGAUGUUUAAUCUUCUCAAGGGAUGAGAAUGUGUCUCGUACUUCUCAGCAUCUGAAACGCAGCCUUCGCUAAUGGGUCAGUUUCACUGGACGUACUCCCAGGAUCAUAGAUGGCAGCCGGGGAAGGCAGUGAGGGUGGAAAUGUCUCACUAGGCUGAAUUGAAGUGAGGCCUACCCGUUGCCUCCUUUGCAUGUGUUUAAGUAUUAGAAGAAUCUAGUAAUUUGCCCAUAAGAGAUAAUCAAACAAGAAAACAAAGGUGUAUGUGCAAAGAUUUGAAUCUUAGCUUUAUUUGAAAUAACAGAAAAUUGGAAGUCAAUUCAUGUCCAUCAGCGUGGGGCUGGCCACCUGCCAAUUCAUGUCCAUUUCCCUGGAGGGAAAUGACCCAACCAUGGAGAGAACGAUGUUCACUGAUUGCAUUGGCGUGGCAAGAACUCCAUGGCAUGUUGCAUCAUGAAGAAAGCUGCCCCGCAAAAUGAGAUGCGAUUGACGUUGAUGUGUCUGUACUUGUGCAAAGAGAGAUUUGGGAAAGGAAGUUUACUGAAGUGUUAACAAUGGGUUACAAGUUUUGAAGUGAUUUUAAUUUCUUUUUUUUUAAGUUUCUGUUAGGCUGGGAUUUUCCCCAUAGAUAUGCAUCAUCUAUGUCAGCAAUCCCCAACCUUUUGGGCACCAGGACAGGUUUCGUGAAAGACAAUUUUUCCACGGACCAGGAGUGGGAGGGACGGUUUCAGGAUGAUUCAAGCACAUUACGUUUAUCAUUAGAUUCUCACAAGGAGCAUGCAAGCUAGAUCCCUUGCAUGCCCAGUUCACAAUAGGGUUCGUGCUCCUAUGAGAAUCUGAUGUUGCCACUGGUCUGACAGGAGGUGGAGCUCAGCUUCGCUCACUUGCCCCACCACUCACCUCCUGCUGUGCAGCCCAGUUCCUAACAGGCCACAGACCAGUAUACCAGUCUGUCACCUGGGGGUUGGGGAUCCCUGAUUUUUGUAAUUG